AUUCCAGCUCCAAUAGCGUAUAUUUAAGUUGUUGCAGUUAAAAAGCUCGUAGUUGGAUUUCGGGCCCAGGUGACCGGUCCGCCGUUUCGGUGUGCACUGGUUAGCUCGGUCUUUCUGCCGGGGACACGCUCCGUCUUAAUUGCCGGACGUGGAGUCGGCGAUGUUACUUUGAAAAAAUUAGAGUGUUCAAAGCAGGCUUACGCUCUGAAUACUAUAGCAUGGAAUAACACGAUAGGACUCCGAGCCUAUUUUGUUGGUCUUCGGGACCGGAGUAAUGAUUAAGAGGGACAGUUGGGGGCAUUCGUAUUACGGUGUCAGAGGUGAAAUUCUCGGAUUUCCGUAAGACGAACUUCUGCGAAAGCAUUUGCCAAGGAUGUUUUCAUCG
rnacentral:rRNA from 1 species